rnacentral:rRNA from 1 species
UGAUGCAGCACGCCGCGUGAGUGAUGAAGGUUUUCGGAUCGUAAAGCUCUGUCUUUGGGGAAGAUAAUGACGGUACCCAAGGAGGAAGCCACGGCUAACUACGUGCCAGCAGCCGCGGUAAUACGUAGGUGGCGAGCGUUAUCCGGAUUUACUGGGCGUAAAGGGAGCGUAGGCGGAUGAUUAAGUGGGAUGUGAAAUACCCGGGCUCAACUUGGGUGCUGCAUUCCAAACUGGUUAUCUAGAGUGCAGGAAAGGAGAGUGGAAUUCCUAGUGUAGCGGUGAAAUGCGUAAAGAUUAGGAAGAACACCAGUGGCGAAGGCGACUCUCUGGACUGUAACUGACGCUGAGGCUCGAAAGCGUGGGGAGCAAACAGGAUUAGAUACCCCGGUAG